AGGUGCUAAUACCGCAUAAGCGCACGGAGUCGCAUGACUUUGUGUGAAAAACUGAGGUGGUAUAUGAUGGACCCGCGUCUGAUUAGCUUGUUGGUGAGGUAACGGCCCACCAAGGCGACGAUCAGUAGCCGGCCUGAGAGGGUGGACGGCCACAUUGGGACUGAGACACGGCCCAAACUCCUACGGGAGGCAGCAGUGGGGAAUAUUGCACAAUGGGGGAAACCCUGAUGCAGCGACGCCGCGUGAGCGAAGAAGUAUUUCGGUAUGUAAAGCUCUGUCAGCAGGGAAGAAAGAAAUGACGGUACCUGACCAAGAAGCCCCGGCUAACUACGUGCCAGCAGCCGCGGUAAUACGUAGGGGGCAAGCGUUAUCCGGAUUUACUGGGUGUAAAGGGAGCGUAGACGGUGAAGUAAGUCUGGAGUGAAAGGCGGGGGCCCAACCCCCGGACUGCUCUGGAAACUAUUUGACUGGAGUGCAGGAGAGGUAAGCGGAAUUCCUAGUGUAGCGGUGAAAUGCGUAGAUAUUAGGAGGAACACCAGUGGCGAAGGCGGCUUACUGGACUGUAACUGACGUUGAGGCUCGAAAGCGUGGGGAGCAAACAGGAUUAGAUACCCUGGUAGUCCACGCAGUAAACGAUGAAUGCUGGCUGUCCGGGGGGACUGACCCCUGGGUGGCGAAGCGAAAGCGAUAAGCAUUCCACCUGGGGAGUACGCCGGCAACGGUGAAACUCAAAGGAAUUGACGGGGGCCCGCACAAGCGGAGGAACAUGUGGUUUAAUUCGAUGAUACGCGAGGAACCUUACCCGGGCUCAAACGGGGAGUGACUCAGGCAGAGACGCCUGUUUCCCACGGGACACUCCCCGAGGUGCUGCAUGGUUGUCGUCAGCUCGUGCCGUGAGGUGUCGGCUUAAGUGCCAUAACGAGCGCAACCCACAUCGGUAGUUGCUAACAGUUUUCGCUGAGGACUCUACCGAGACUGCCGUCGUAAGGCGCGAGGAAGGUGUGGAUGACGUCAAAUCAGCACGGCCC
rnacentral:rRNA from 1 species